rnacentral:rRNA from 1 species
CUACGGGCUGCUCCAGUGAGGAAUAUUGCACAAUGGGGGGAACCCUGAUGCAGCAACGCCGCGUGGAGGAUGACGCAUUUCGGUGUGUAAACUCCUUUUAUAUGUCAAGAAAAUGACGGUAGCAUAUGAAUAAGCACCGGCUAACUCCGUGCCAGCAGACCGCGGGUAAUACGGAGGGUGCAAGCGUUACUCGGAAUCACUGGGCGUAAAGGACGCGUAGGCGGGUUGGAAAGUCAGGUGUGAAAUCCUACAGCUUAACUGUAGAACUGCACUUGAAACUUCUAAUCUAGAGUAUGGGAGGGGGAGAUGGAAUUAGUGGUGUAGGGGUAAAAUCCGUAGAUAUCACUAGGAAUACCUAAAGCGAAGGCGAUCUCCUGGAACAUUACUGACGCUAAGGCGUGAAAGCGUGGGGAGCAAACAGGAUUAGAUACCCGGGUAGUC